rnacentral:rRNA from 1 species
AGCGAACGCUGGCGGCAGGCCUAACACAUGCAAGUCGAACGAACCUUUCGGGGUUAGUGGCGGACGGGUGAGUAACACGUGGGAACGUGCCUUUAGGUUCGGAAUAACUCAGGGAAACUUGUGCUAAUACCGAAUGUGCCCUUCGGGGGAAAGAUUUAUCGCCUUUAGAGCGGCCCGCGUCUGAUUAGCUAGUUGGUUGAGGUAAUGGCUCACCAAGGCGACGAUCAGUAGCUGGUAUGAGAGGAUGAUCAGCCACAUUGGGACUGAGACACGGCCCAAACUCCUACGGGAGGCAGCAGUGGGGAAUCUUGCGCAAUGGGCGAAAGCCUGACGCAGCCAUGCCGGGUGAAUGAUGAAGGUCUUAGGAUUGUAAAAUUCUUUCACCGGGGACGAUAAUGACGGUACCCGGAGAAGAAGCCCCGGCUAACUUCGUG